rnacentral:rRNA from 1 species
UACGUAGGCAGCAAGCGUUGUUCGGAGUUACUGGGCGUAAAGGGUGUGUAGGCGGUUCUUUUAAGUUUGGUGUGAAAUCUCCCCGGCUCAACUGGGAGGGUGCGCCGAAUACUGAGGGGACUAGAGUACGGGAGAGGAAAGUGGAAUUCCUGGUGUAGCGGUGAAAUGCGUAGAUAUCAGGAGGAACACCGGUGGUGUAGACGGCUUUCUGGACCGACACUGACGCUGAAAACACGAAAGCGUGGGUAGCAAACAGG